GUCUCCAGUCUUCCCAUCCUGAACACACCUGAGCUUGUCGGGUCUCGGAAGGUGAGUAGGGUUGGGUCUGGUUAGUACUUGGGUGAAAAAAAUGCAGACUUUGCCCUGAAGUUU
ensembl:rRNA 5S_rRNA 5S ribosomal RNA